UACGUAGGGGGCAAGCGUUGUCCGGAAUCAUUGGGCGUAAAGAGCGCGCAGGCGGCCCGGCAAGUCGGGUGUGAAAUCCCGGGGCUCAACCCCGGGACUGCAUUCGAUACUGCCGGGCUAGAGGUAGGUAGGGGAGAUCGGAAUUCCUGGUGUAGCGGUGAAAUGCGCAGAUAUCAGGAGGAACACCGGUGGCGAAGGCGGAUCUCUGGGCCUUACCUGACGCUCAGGCGCGAAAGCUAGGGGAGCGAACAGG
rnacentral:rRNA from 1 species